UCCCAAUUUCCUUAACAUACAAUUGAAUAAAUAAAGAAUGGUAAAGUGAGCAAACAAUCAAUUAUCAAUAUGACAUGAAAGUAACAGAUCAAAAUUACAGUGAAAUGAAACAGACUAAUACAUUUACAUCAUGCAGGCUGAUGUAGUUAUAUUGUGUAGGCUAGGUUAUCAUAUUCAUGCAUUUUAUACAUGUUUUGUUACCUUUUUAUCUAGUUUUUAUAUGUUUUUAGUUAUUUAUCAUGAUUUGUUUGUCUCAUUCUUUGAUUUUUGGAAUCUUUAGGUAAGGUUCAAUAGUUCGAUAAGGUAUGAGCAUAAUUGGAAAUGAGAUAUAGCCUCAAUGUCGAGUUUUGGAAGUCCUUGAGGAUUACAGCAGGGGGUGUAAAAAAUAAAACCACCCAUGUAAAGCAGAG
rnacentral:misc_RNA from 1 species